UACAGAGGUCUCAAGCGUUGUUCGGAUUCAUUGGGCGUAAAGGGUGCGUAGGCGGGUCUUUAAGUCAGGGGUGAAAUCCUGGAGCUCAACUCCAGAACUGCCUUUGAUACUGAGGAUCUUGAGUUCGGGAGAGGUGAGUGGAACUGCGAGUGUAGAGGUGAAAUUCGUAGAUAUUCGCAAGAACACCAGUGGCGAAGGCGGCUCACUGGCCCGAUACUGACGCUGAGGCACGAAAGCGUGGGGAGCAAACAGGG
rnacentral:rRNA from 1 species